rnacentral:rRNA from 1 species
GACGAACCGUGCGAACGUUGUUCGGAAUCACUGGGCUUAAAGGGCGCGUAGGCGGGUCACCAAGUCCGGGGUGAAAUCUUUCGGCUUAACCGGAAAACUGCCUUGGAUACUGGUGAUCUCGAGGGAGGUAGGGGUCUGUGGAACUUCUGGUGGAGCGGUGAAAUGCGUUGAUAUCAGAAGGAACGCCGGUGGCGAAAGCGACGGACUGGACCUCCACUGACGCUGAGGCGCGAAAGCUAGGGGAGCAAACGGG